UCUGACGGGAUCGUGCAUCGCCAGGUAGACGGGCCCUCCCGACCAAUUGACGGGGAGCACGUGAUUUGGAGCGGCCGAUCAGGAGGGCUCUGGUUACGUCCGACAGGAGACCAAUGCUCAGUGUCAAACGGGUGAGCCCUACCAACCGAAAGACGAGGGGCAACGUGGUUUAAGAAUGACCAGCCAAAAGGGGCCCACACUUAGCUUCUGCCGGGAGCGGCCCCCGGCAACAGGUGAGUGGGUUCCAUUGGCUGAUGGCGGGAAGAAAGAAAUAGGAAUGGCUGGGCAGGAGAGCUCUCGCAGCAUCCGACGGGAGACCAAGGCUCCAGGAGACUAAUGCUCAAGGCCUCGGACGGGUAAGCCUCACCGGACAAGGAAAGAAGCACGGACCAGGAGGCUCUCACGGCAUCAGAUGGGAGACCAAGGCUCAUGACAUCAGAUGGGUAAGCCUCGCUGGUAGACGGCAGAAAGUAAAGCACAGAAGAAUGACCGGGAGGGCUCUCGCUGCAUCCAAUGGGAGAUCAAUACUCAUGGAAUAGAACGGGUAAGCCUCGCCGGGCAAAGGAGGAGAAAAGAUGGAAACUGACCGGGAGGGCUCUCGCAGCAUCAGAUGGGUAAGCCUCGUCAGCGGUGGAGAGAAAGGUUUUUUUUCUCCCCCUCUUCUUCUCCUUUCCUUUCCCUCCUCAGAAAACUGAGCUCCAGCAGAAGCAGAGGGGACAUUAUUGCUGCAGCAGAGGACAAAUUUAGCUAUAGAACUGGGCUCCUAUGGGAGUGGAGGAGACAUCGUUGCUGCUGCAGUGGAAGGAUCAGCCAGACAUACUGAGCUCCUGCGAGAGCAUGGAGAUAACAUUGCUGCACCGUGAAGGCAAGGUUUGCCAGAGAAAGGAGCUCCUGUGGGAGCGGCAGUGUAAGAACAGAGUGGGCUCCUGCGGAAUCAGGAUGAGAUGAACGAGCUCCUCCUGAACCUUCAUUUAGAGCCUCAUUUAAAUACAGAAUGAGUUCAUUUGCAUAUUGAUCAGAUGCUUCAGUGCUCUGAGAGUGUUUAUAGUGCUGUGAGUUUAACACUUCAUCACUGACACACACAACAAUCUUCAUCAACAUGACCUUCAUCAUCAUCUUCAUCUGGACUCUCACAGCGUUUGCUCAAGAGUGUAGAGGACAGAUCACCGUCACUCAGAGUCCCUCAAUGACAGCAGCUCAACCAGGACAAACUGUGAACAUCAACUGUAAAACCAGCACAGAUGUGUAUUAUCAUAGUUCCUAUGGACAUUAUUUAUUCUGGUACUUACAGAAACCUGGAGAAGCUCCUAAACUCCUGAUUUAUUGGACCAACACCCGUCAGUCAGGAACUCCAUCUAGAUUCAGUGGCAGUGGAUCUAACAGUGAUUUCACUCUGACCAUCAGUGGAGUCCAGACUGAAGAUGCUGGACAUUAUUACUGUCAGAGUUAUCACAGUGGUGUGUUCACACAGUGA